UGGGCUGUCAGUGAACAUUUGCUGGAUGGA
rnacentral:piRNA from 1 species